UACAGAGGUCUCAAGCGUUGUUCGGAUUCAUUGGGCGUAAAGGGUGCGUAGGCGGCGCGGUAAGUCGGGUGUGAAAUCUUGGAGCUUAACUCCGAAACUGCAUUCGAUACUGCCGUGCUUGAGGACUGGAGAGGAGACUGGAAUUUACGGUGUAGCGGUGAAAUGCGUAGAUAUCGUCAGGAACGCCGGUGGUGAAGACGGGUGACUUGGCCGGUUCUGACACUGAGGCACGAAAGCGUGGGGAGCGAACGGG
rnacentral:rRNA from 1 species